CCGCCUCGUCACGAGCUCCGGCCUUGCCCGCGCGAAUGCUCCGCUGUACUCGAGCGGGUUUAUGAACGUUUGUUGUGUCGAGGGCACCCAUAAUGGGGUGCCGUCUUCAGGUACUCACUGUUCUUUAUAGACUAAACCGAGGUUCCUAUUGGCCCCGCUCAUUUAGCUCGCCCCGGGUGGUAGCCUUCCCCUGGAGUGUAACAGCUCCACUCCUCCUAACAGCCAGCUAACUCAGUCUGCUAAAUUGACCGGAAUAAAGCUGAGGAGGUCAUUCUAAACGUUUGAUCUCCCUUCCUGCCAGAUACGGAUUGCAGGAUUUCCUAAAAUCUUUGCUGAUGCCUUGGCUUGUGAGGAACUCUCUGAGAGGUUCUCCAGAAGUUAAUCAGCUAUGUUGAGAAAACAUAUACAUACGUCAGUUAGUGUGGUUAGUUUAACCUGCUUGAGGAAAUGCUUGGACUUAAUACCUCUAACUGCUAGUCUAACAAGGCCCUUACACGUUGUUCUUCUCCAUGGGAAUCAAACCUUCUCCUUGAUCAAACCAUUCCGUAGAGCCUGGAUAUAGGUCUGGCCUUUGCUGAAGCUGAAGUGAACUCAGCAUUAGCAUCCAAAUGCAGAAGCGUAAGACAGCCCAUGAUCAGAAAGAAGCAGUAGUGCACUUUCACAGACCUCACAAAACUGACCGUGCAGGGAGACAGACCCACCCGUAGCACUGCACACACUAUGAAGAAGUGAAUUGAGAGCAGUUUUCCUCGUUUGCUACUGCACAAGGGUAGGACACAUCUCCCAGUGACUCACUGGUGACUUACAUUCUCUUUUCACUAGGUUUUCAAAAAGUACCCGCUGUAACCAAAGAAGAUUUUUUGUUGAUAGCUUCCCAGCAUUGUUGAGAUCCCUGCCUCUGAGCUGUGAGCUUCCUGCCACUGGGAUUAAUGCCAGCUGAGAAUGAAGCCUGGAAGGCUGCUUGUGAAGACCCCCUGCAUCCCAGUGUAUUUCAGUGUGAUGUUAAGGGUGGAGGCAACAUGCUGAACUGUGUCACUUCUGAGCAGCACUGCAACCCAUAGAAUAGUUUUGGAUUUCAGCAAGCUCUCAAGGAUUCACUGUUAUCAGUUCUACUCAUUUUGCUGAUGUGCACAAGUUCCUGUAUGACACAUUUGAGAGAUCAGAUUUUAGAAUAACUUGUGUCUGCUGAAUAAACCAAGUUGUAAUGAAAGCAAGAAAGACCUCAGAAUGAUAUAGGAUGUGCAUUUGAGUUCACAUCAUCGGGGAGUCUUGGAUUAUUUUCCAAGAGCAGCGGAAAAAUAAGUCUGAAAUAUUAUUGGAAAGAAACUUCUGGUAGACGCUGAUACUCUCACCUCUUCCUUUCCUUGGUACGAAAUUCUGAAGCCUAUAUAUGCUUUCACUUUAGUAAAGCUGUUUUUUACCAUAUGUGCAGUCUUUUUGUCUGUUCUGUCAGAAUCUUUUGCAUUUUGCUCUUGCUGUCUUCUCAUAAUCUUACAAGCUGAUAUGGAAGCUACUAUUCUGAAGCUGCUCCUUUCCCACAAGUGGACUCUACAAACCUUGUUUUUGCAGUUUGCCUGUUUCUCAGAAUAAUGCAUUUGUCAGGAUUUUCAGUCGGAUGAUGCCACAGGACUUGGAAUAAAGCCUGAUUAAA